rnacentral:rRNA from 13 species
GUCUAGGGCCAUAUCAUGUUGAAAACACCAGUUCUCGUCCGAUCACUGAAGUUAAGCAACAUUGAGUUGUGUUAGUACUUGGAUGGGUGACCGCUUGGGAAUACACAAUGUCCUAGACA